rnacentral:rRNA from 1 species
AUGAUACUGGCACAUGCAUCUGUUACUAGACUUUACAGAGAAAAAUAUCGAGCCGUGCAAAUGGGAGUUGUUGGCAUAAAUGUUUACUCCCAUUGGACUUAUCCUUUGACGAACUCUACUCUUGAUUUAGCAGCAAACAAAAGAUAUCAGGACUUCCUGUUCGGUUUGAUACUAGAACCCUUGGUGUUCGGAGAUUACCCCCGAGUGAUAAAGACGAAUGCUGGUUCCCGCCUUCCAUCCUUCACAAAACUACAAUCUGAAUUUGUCAAGGGUGCUAUUGAUUUCAUAGGAAUAAAUCACUACUAUUCUGUCUAUGCGAGCGAUCGUCCUCUAAAGAAUGGUGUUCGCGACUAUGCAGCAGACAUGUCAGUUUACAAGAGAGCUUCUAGAACAGACCCGGCAGUAAGUGAGGAUGUGCCAACAGCAUUUCCAGAUGACCCAAAAGGAUUACAAUUUGUGUUGCAGUACCUGGCAAAAGUCUAUGGUGACCUGCCCAUUUAUGUCCAAGAGAAUGGUAAGGCAUCUACCAACGACACUCUCGAUGACACUGACAGGGUCAAAUACUUGAAGAGCUACAUAGGGAGCACACUGGCGGCAUUAAGAACCGGAGUCAAUGUGAAAGGUUACUUUGCGUGGAACUUCAUGGACAUGUUCGAGUUCCUCGCAGGGUACAAUACACGGUACGGCCUGUACCGUGUCGACUUCGACGAUGAGGCGCGGCCAAGGGAGGCCAGGCUCUCUGCUUGCUGGUACUCCAGCUUUCUGGAAAACAAUGGCAUCCAUUUUCGGAGCGAGCUCGAUAAUAAAGGAUCCCAUGCUCAACAGUGA